ACCAUAAUAGUCCAGCUAAUUUGGUAGUUUUCCUUUUCAACAUAACAAAAGCUUUUUCAAAAGGGGACUGUAUUUGAACACCUGAACACCCUUCGUGAAGCAAAACAUCGAUUAUCUUCGAAACUCUCCAGAGACCGGCGACUUUUGGACUCCACCACCCGUACAAGAUCCUCGGUGAUAGGCGUUGGCGCCGUGAAAAUCGGGCGUUUGACCGAGGGACUCAGCUGAGCAGUGUGAGGGAGGCUUGCGGCGCUGACUUGGAAACGUAGUGAGGAGAAACUAGGGUUUCUAAACCCUAGUUCACCGGUUCGGAGCUCCAGGUGCUUCAGCGGGUCUUGGGUUCUCUGUAAAACGGGCUACUGAUGCAUUGAGCCACUGGGAUUUGUUGGUCUUUGGGCAGCUUUGUAAUAAUUUUGGGCCAUAGGUUCAGGCCUGUCACAAUGUAAAAAUAAAAUAAAUAAUAACGUAAAUAUAAUUUAUAAAUA